rnacentral:tRNA from 1 species
UGGGAUUGUAGUUCAAUAGGUCAGAGCACCGCCCUGUCAAGGCGUAAGCUGCGGGUUCGAGCCCUGCCAGUCCCGAC